rnacentral:lncRNA from 1 species
GUGCUAGUCUAGCUGACACGACAAGAUUACACUACCGGGACAUAUGCAUCAGCGCACAUGGCGCUAAAGCGUGAUUUUAUCAUGCUACCCAGACUGGUGCGAAAAUAUAAAAUAAAAAGGGAUUAGAAAAAAAUGCCUCGGGCUUUGCAAGUGCAACGUCUCAUUACGGUCCUAUCGUGUCACGUGACCAAACUUCUGGAUUUACGGCUUAAUAAGAAUGUACACUAUACUAGUACACGGUUGGUAUAUUGUAAAAUCAUGUACUACCAAAACAGAGUCAUUGCUAGCACAUUUGCAGGAGUUGUAAGUGUAACGGCCGUAUCAUAUCGCAAGUUGCAGGAGCUGUACAUAGCUAGGUUUUGUUUAG